ensembl:lncRNA
CUGCACGGACACGUACACCGCCGUGUUUGUGCACCUCCACGACAUUUCCACCGCUGCACAUCUGCCGCGGAACCACAACUGAAAGUCGCUGAAAUGAGCUCUUGUGGUGACUUGUUGGGAUCAAACCUGAUUAUCGGAUGACAUCGCGGUCGGCACGUUUUGGACCCUGGAUCUGCCGCUCACUCGCUCGGCGGUGUGGGCCGAUCGCCUUGAGAGGCCGCCUAUCCAUUGUCAAACCUCUUUGACCUGCUCUCUCCUUCAGCCUCUCCUGUUUCCACACAAAGACUCUCUAAUACCAGCGAACGAGGCUGCAGGGAGGCCCGGCCCCCCUCUCAUCUGCAGCCUGUUAUGGCGGAGCGGGAGGAUGACAUCAUAUUGGUCUCGGAGCGGCAGC